rnacentral:lncRNA from 1 species
UUUGAAAGCUGCUAGAAUCAGUUCCAAAGAAAGAAAGAUGUGGGUCCAAUUUUCCUCCAUUUUUGCCGGUGUGAAAUGUUUGAGAAUUAAAAGAAAAACAAAACUUGGUCAAGUGUCUCAGA